GCUUGACUGUAGCUUGUAAUUGGGUUCGGGCUUUUUUUGCGCAGCCUAGGUGGGAGGCAAUGAUGAUUUUUUUCCGGAAAAAUUUGAGCCAUUACGUGAGAGACCACUCUGAAAAGGCUAGAAUCCUAAUAAUGAUCCUUGAAUCAGGACAUUUGACAGUUGCAGGUGGGCAGUUUUACUGGGGCGGUAUUCUCCUAAAAAGUAACGGAGGGGUGCAAAGGUUCCCUCAGGCUGGACGGAAAUCAGCUUAAGAGUGUAAAGGCAAAAGGGAGCUUGACUGCAAGACCUACAAGUCGAGCAGGGGCGAAAGCCGGCCUUAGUGAUCCGACGGUACCGCGUGGAAGGGCCGUCGCUCAACGGAUAAAAGUUA
rnacentral:rRNA from 1 species